UGGAAAGGCUCAAAGCGUAGAAGAAUUAGUCUAUCAAGGAACAAACAACACAUGUGGAAUAUUCGAGCUCCGGAACCUAACAUAUGUGGUGACCGGGCCUUGCUAUUAUUUAACCGGCAAAGCAUGUCCGCAAUACGAAGCCUAUGAUAUAAGGGUGAGGGGUGCCGGCGGCAACGAAUCAGCCCAAGAGUGCUUGGAUGCUCUCAAAAAGUAUUACCCAGGAGAGACCUUCAGACGAUAUUUGUAUACGAGCACUUGUGAAACGGCUGCAUUCAAGACACCACACUGUUAGGCUGAAUAAUUGAUU